rnacentral:rRNA from 1 species
GGUGAGUAAUGCCUAGGAAUCUGCCUGAUAGUGGGGGACAACGUUUCGAAAGGAACGCUAAUACCGCAUACGUCCUACGGGAGAAAGCAGGGGACCUUCGGGCCUUGCGCUAUCAGAUGAGCCUAGGUCGGAUUAGCUAGUUGGUGAGGUAAUAGGCUCACCAAGGCGACGAUCCGUAACUGGUCUGAGAGGAUGAUCAGUCACACUGGAACUGAGACACGGUCCAGACUCCUACGGGAGGCAGCAGUGGGGAAUAUUGGACAAUGGGCGAAAGCCUGAUCCAGCCAUGCCGCGUGUGUGAAGAAGGUCUUCGGAUUGUAAAGCACUUUAAGUUGGGAGGAAGGGCAUUAACCUAAUACGUAGUGUUUUGACGUUACCGACAGAAUAAGCACCGGCUAACUUCGUGNCAGCAA